GGUAUUUAACCAGAAAGCCACGGCUAACUACGUGCCAGCAGCCGCGGUAAUACGUAGGUGGCAAGCGUUGUCCGGAUUUAUUGGGCGUAAAGCGAGCGCAGGCGGUUUCUUAAGUCUGAUGUGAAAGCCCCCGGCUCAACCGGGGAGGGUCAUUGGAAACUGGGAGACUUGAGUGCAGAAGAGGAGAGUGGAAUUCCAUGUGUAGCGGUGAAAUGCGUAGAUAUAUGGAGGAACACCAGUGGCGAAGGCGGCUCUCUGGUCUGUAACUGACGCUGAGGCUCGAAAGCGUGGGGAGCGAACAGGAUUAGAUACCCUGGUAGUCCACGCCGUAAACGAUGAGUGCUAAGUGUUGGAGGGUUUCCGCCCUUCAGUGCUGCAGCAAACGCAUUAAGCACUCCGCCUGGGGAGUACGACCGCAAGGUUGAAACUCAAAGGAAUUGACGGGGGCCCGCACAAGCGGUGGAGCAUGUGGUUUAAUUCGAAGCAACGCGAAGAACCUUACCAGGUCUUGACAUCCUUUGACCACUCUAGAGAUAGAGCUUCCCCUUCGGGGGCAAAGUGACAGGUGGUGCAUGGUUGUCGUCAGCUCGUGUCGUGAGAUGUUGGGUUAAGUCCCGCAACGAGCGCAACCCUUAUUGUUAGUUGCCAUCAUUUAGUUGGGCACUCUAGCGAGACUGCCGGUGACAAACCGGAGGAAGGUGGGGAUGACGUCAAAUCAUCAUGCCCCUUAUGACCUGGGCUACACACGUGCUACAAUGGGAAGUACAACGAGUUGCGAAGUCGCGAGGCUAAGCUAAUCUCUUAAAGCUUCUCUCAGUUCGGAUUGUAGGCUGCAACUCGCCUACAUGAAGCCGGAAUCGCUAGUAAUCGCGGAUCAGCACGCCGCGGUGAAUACGUUCCCGGGCCUUGUACACACCGCCCGUCACACCACGAGAGUUUGUAACAUCCGAAGUCGGUGAGGUAACCUUUUGGAGCCAGCCGCCUAUGAGGGUAUCAG
rnacentral:rRNA from 1 species